GCAAGUCGAGCGGAAACGAUGGAGCUUGCUCCAGGCGUCGAGCGGCGGACGGGUGAGUAACGCGUAGGAAUCUACCCAUUAGUGGGGGAUAGCCCGGGGAAACCCGGAUUAAUACCGCAUACGCCCUACGGGGGAAAGGUGGCCUCUUCUUGAAAGCUACCGCUAUUGGAGGAGCCUGCGUUGGAUUAGCUAGUUGGUGGGGUAAUGGCCUACCAAGGCGACGAUCCAUAGCUGGUCUGAGAGGACGAUC
rnacentral:rRNA from 1 species